CCGCCUACUCGCGGCGAGGUCCCGGCACGGCCCCGUGCCGAGUACCCAGCCAGCCCCGACCCUUCUCCCGCGGGACUCCGCGGCCAGAGCCCGAGCCGAGGGAGGUGCAGACACUACCUGGGAGGAACCUCAGAAGUAUUCGCUCUGGUGGACCCGGCACAGUGGCCCACCAUUGUAAUCCCAGCACGUGGGGAGGCCAAGGUAGAAGAUCCCUUGAGGCCUGGAGUUUGAGACCAGCCUGGGCAACAUAGUGAGACCCGUCCCCCGCAACCCGCAUCUCUUCACAAAUAAAAAACAUUAGCCA